rnacentral:lncRNA from 1 species
ACCGAUUGAAAGAUUAGAGCAAUCGCCAUAUUGUUCUUCUUUGCAUCGUUACUCCCUGGAUCAAUUGUAUCCCAAACUUCGUAUAAACGAAGCAUCACUUUCAUUUGUAUCGACCAUACGGUGUAGUUGGUCGAUGUUAGCAUCGGACAUCGUAUGUCCUUCUUCAUCUCAAGACCUUUAUCACGUGCUUGAAAAUCGUCUCCCAUGUUUUGAUCGAAGUUACAACUCCUCUUGUAAACGACCUUCGAAACCUGGAGCUCUG